UGACUCUUUUCUCAAAAGCAUGGUUGAGUGGCUAAAUUCAGACACAAGUCAGGCUUCCAUCUUAGGAAACGUAUUACAGUGGUGACAAUGGGGCCUAUAAUGUUU
rnacentral:snoRNA from 1 species